AAAUUCGAUCUCAGAAUCUUUUUGCCAGAAGUGUCUCAUGGGACUUAUCUAUAGUGGAACACAUUUGAAGACCUACUGCUCUAUUAAGAAGGCAGCCGGACAACAUGUUCUAAUACUUCGUAUGCUUUGUGACCUAGUUAAAAUCUAAACUUAAGUCGCCAUGGCCAGUGGCCUUUAGAUUAAGCUAGCCUUACCCCUGGGAGUAUACCAGAGCUUUCCAAGGAAUACACAGACUCCAGUACUCUCAGGGGAGCAGUGUUCAGAGCCUCAUCUUCCUGUUAUAUUCUUCUCUAAGAUUCAUCUGCCUGAGAAAAUGCCCUUUUCUCACCUUACAAAAGAAAAUAUGGCUGUCUCCACCUCUAGUCUUACUGUAGAGCAUGUCCCAAGGUGUAAAAAUUCAAAAUGUGGAUAUUUGGAAAGUGAAAGACUUAUCAACAGGGCACAAAUCUUUUUGCAAAUGGAUUUUCCAAGUUUUUCUGGUGGUUCCAAAUUUUUUGCUUUCAACAAAGUGGGAGGAACAGCCUGUAGAUUUCUGAGUCUCUUAGCAUGUAACUACAAAGGGGUUGGAAGAAUUCAGUGAUUCUGCUAUCAUAAAGCUUCCGUUCCCAUUGAUGUAUCUGUGUGAACAAGGAUCAACAUCUCCAUAAAUGAAAUUGAAAACGGAAAAUAGAAUUGAUGAUGAACUUUGGCUCAAUCUUAAGAUGUUAUCAAUCUACAUAGAUGAAAUAAUUGUGGAGAAAAGCCCUCUUUAUCUCAUUAAGUGAUACAUUUCCAAAGAAGUUUUACUAUGUUUAAUAAUUUAGUGAAAUUUGGGCUAUGUGUUUAUUGAUUCAGCUCAAUCCAGAGGAAAAUUUUAAAGGCUUACAGCCUUAGGAUUAUAGGAUACUAUAUAAUACUUUUGGUACAGAGAUAGAAUUAAAUAACAUAAAAAUCAAAAAUUUAUUAGGCUAAAAUUUUGAGGGAGAAGUGGUAUGAAAAUACAAAUUCAAGGAGUAAAAGGAAAAGUGGGGCAUUCCUUGCUACUAAAAAUUGCCUUGUUCCAGGUAAGACUGAUCAUAAAAAAAUGGCCCUGUUCAUAAAAUUUUUAAAAAGAUCAUAGUAUCUAUCAAAUAACUUAUAUUAAGAACCUCCUGGGCUAAAUUUAAAAAGUAAUACAACAGUUUUAUUUAAACAUGUAGUGUCUACGGUAUGCCAGCACUUUGCAGCUAUUUAUAAUGAGAAAUUUUAGAUGUCAAUAUAGCAAUGUGCAAGAAGAUAGAGAUUUUCAAAAUUCACUUAAGAGUAUCUGAGCAUAAAAUGUUAAGAUUGCUGAUCGGAUGUGAGGGCGAUCUGGCUGCGACAUCUGUCACCCCAUUGAUCGCCAGGGUUGAUUCGGCUGAUCUGGCUGGCUAGGUGGGUGUCCCCUUCCUACCUCACCGCUCCAUGUGCGUCCCUCCCGAAGCUGCGCGCUCCGUCGAAGAGGACGACCAACCCCGAUAGAGGAGGACCGGUCUUCGGUCAAGGGUAUACGAGUAGCUGCGCUCCCCUGCUGGAACCUCCAAACAAGCUCUCAAGAUUGCUGAUCUAGGGCCACUAAGUGAUGAAUUGUAUUUGGAAGCAAAAAGGAUGGCUAAAAAGGACCUCAACCCUUUUGACUUUAAAAGGAAAAUAGCUUAACCUUCAACCUGUGUGACAUUUAACUUUUUGAACCCAACCGUAAAAGCUAUCUUCUAACCAACAAAAAGUUAAUAAUUAGAUUUGGAAUUAUACAGAAUUAGAAAAUUGGCAUUUAAAAAUACUCAAUAAUUUGUCCCUGGUUUUUAAUUUUCAAAAUAUUUUCUUUUUGAAGAGCCAGAUUCCAGUGAUCCUGCCUCUCAGAAAUUUCCACAUUUCUUAUUUUUCAUUAGGCCUUAAGAAGCUGCAUUUGUAAACUUGUGUUUCAUUAUUAAAGCUUAAUUUAUUUUUUAUAUAAAUAGUAUGUGCUUUGUGUACAUAGAGAAUUAAGUGAAUGAGUCACACAGAUGUUGGCUGUUGUUAAUGUGAAAAUUAAACAGCUGUAUCACAUUUUGAAAAAUAAAAGUUUCAUCUGAAUG
rnacentral:lncRNA from 1 species